rnacentral:rRNA from 1 species
UACGUAGGGUGCAAGCGUUGUCCGGAAUUAUUGGGCGUAAAGAGCUCGUAGGCGGUCUGUCGCGUCUGCUGUGAAAACUCGGGGCUUAACCCCGGGCCUGCAGUGGGUACGGGCAGACUAGAGUGUGGUAGGGGAGAUCGGAAUUCCCGGUGUAGUGGUGAAAUGCGUAGAUAUCGGGAGGAACACCAGUGGCGAAGGCGACUUCCUGGCCUGUUCUUGACGCUGAGGCGCGAAAGCUAGGGGAGCGAACGGGG